rnacentral:rRNA from 1 species
UACGUAGGGGCCUAGCGUUGUCCGGAUUUAUUGGGCGUAAAGAGCUCGUAGGCGGCUCGGUAAGUCAGGUGUGAAAUCUCCACGCUCAACGUGGAGGCGCCACCUGAAACUGCCGUGACUCGAGUCCGGUAGGGGAGUGUGGAAUUCCUGGUGUAGCGGUGAAAUGCGCAGAUAUCAGGAGGAACACCUGCGGCGAAGGCGGGUUGCUGGGCUGACACUGACGCUGAAGCGCGAAAGCUAGGGGAGCGAACGGG